rnacentral:rRNA from 1 species
GACAGAGGUGCCGAGCGUUAGGCGGAAUCACUGGGCUUAAAGCGUGUGUAGGCGGAUCGUUAAGUGUCUUGUGAAAUCCCCCGGCUCAACCGGGGAAUUGCUGGGCAUACUGGCGGUCUUGAGCGAUCUAGGGGCAGAUGGAACAAGUGGUGGAGCGGUGAAAUGCGUAGAUAUCACUUGGAACGCCAAAGGUGAAGACAGUCUGCGUGGGGAUCUGCUGACGCUGAGACACGAAAGCCAGGGGAGCGAACGGG